rnacentral:rRNA from 1 species
AGAUUAGAGUUUGAUCAUGGCUCAGAUUGAACGCUGGCGGCAUGCUUUACACAUGCAAGUCGAACGGUAACAGGUCUUCGGAUGCUGACGAGUGGCGAACGGGUGAGUAAUACAUCGGAACGUGCCUAGUAGUGGGGGAUAACUACUCGAAAGAGUAGCUAAUACCGCAUGAGAUCUACGGAUGAAAGCAGGGGACCUUCGGGCCUUGUGCUACUAGAGCGGCUGAUGGCAGAUUAGGUAGUUGGUGGGGUAAAGGCUUACCAAGCCUGCGAUCUGUAGCUGGUCUGAGAGGACGACCAGCCACACUGGGACUGAGACACGGCCCAGACUCCUACGGGAGGCAGCAGUGGGGAAUUUUGGACAAUGGGCGAAAGCCUGAUCCAGCAAUGCCGCGUGCAGGAUGAAGGCCCUCGGGUUGUAAACUGCUUUUGUACGGAACGAAAAGCCUGGGGCUAAUAUCCCCGGGUCAUGACGGUACCGUAAGAAUAAGCACCGGCUAACUACGUGCCAGCAGCCGCGGUAGUACGUAGGGUGCAAGCGUUAAUCGGAAUUACUGGGCGUAAAGCGUGCGCAGGCGGUUUUGUAAGACAGUGGUGAAAUCCCCGGGCUCAACCUGGGAACUGCCAUUGUGACUGCAAGGCUAGAGUGCGGCAGAGGGGGAUGGAAUUCCGCGUGUAGCAGUGAAAUGCGUAGAUAUGCGG